UACAGAGGUCCCAAGCGUUGUUCGGAUUUACUGGGCGUAAAGGGUGCGUAGGUGGCGAGGUAAGUUCGAUGUGAAAUCUCCGAGCUCAACUCGGAAAUGGCAUUGAAUACUAUCCCGCUUGAGGGUCGGAGGGGAGACUGGAAUUCCUGGUGUAGCGGUGAAAUGCGCAGAUAUCAGGAGGAACACCGAUGGCGAAGGCAGGUCUCUGGGCAUUAACUGACGCUGAGGAGCGAAAGCAUGGGGAGCGAACAGG
rnacentral:rRNA from 1 species